rnacentral:ncRNA from 1 species
CUCAGUAACGGCGAGUGAAGCGGCAAGAGCUCAAAUUUGAAAGCUGGCUCCUUCGGAGUCCGCAUUGUAAUUUGCAGAGGAUGCUUUGGGUGCGGCCCCCGUCUAAGUGCCCUGGAACGGGCCGUCAGAGAGGGUGAGAAUCCCGUCUUGGGCGGGGUGUCCGUGCCCGUGUAAAGCUCCUUCGACGAGUCGAGUUGUUUGGGAAUGCAGCUCUAAAUGGGUGGUAAAUUUCAUCUAAAGCUAAAUACUGGCCGGAGACCGAUAGCGCACAAGUAGAGUGAUCGAAAGAUGAAAAGCACUUUGAAAAGAGAGUUAAACAGCACGUGAAAUUGUUGAAAGGGAAGCGCUUGCAACCAGACUCGCCCGCGGGGUUCAGCCGGCAUUCGUGCCGGUGUACUUCCCCGUGGGCGGGCCAGCGUCGGUUUGGGCGGCCGGUCAAAGGCCCCUGGAAUGUAGUGCCCUCCGGGGCACCUUAUAGCCAGGGGUGCAAUGCGGCCAGCCUAGACCGAGGAACGCGCUUCGGCUCGGACGCUGGCAUAAUGGUUGUAAACGACCCGUCUUGAAACACGGACCAAGGAGUCUAACAUCUACGCGAGUGUUCGGGUGUCAACCCGUGCGCGCAGUGAAAGCGAACGGAGUGGGAGCCCCCUCGUGGGGCGCACCAUCGACGAUCUGAUGUCUUCGAUGGAUUUGAGUAAGAGCGUAAUGUGGGGACCGAAAGAUGGU